rnacentral:rRNA from 1 species
CGUAGCCACGGUAAUACAGAGGGUGCGAGCGUUAAUCGGAUUUACUGGGCGUAAAGCGUGCGUAGGCGGCUUUUUAAGUCGGAUGUGAAAUCCCUGAGCUUAACUUAGGAAUUGCAUUCGAUACUGGGAAGCUAGAGUAUGGGAGAGGAUGGUAGAAUUCCAGGUGUAGCGGUGAAAUGCGUAGAGAUCUGGAGGAAUACCGAUGGCGAAGGCAGCCAUCUGGCCUAAUACUGACGCUGAGGUACGAAAGCAUGGGGAGCAAACAGGAUUAGAUACCCGUGUAGUCCCUGUCUCUUAUACA